GACGAACGCUGGCGGCGUGCUUAACACAUGCAAGUCGAACGGUGAAGGGACUGGCUUUUGUUGGUCCUGGAUGAGUGGCGAACGGGUGAGUAACACGUGAGUAACCUGCCCCCUUCUUCUGGAUAACCGCAUGAAAGUGUGGCUAAUACGGGAUAUUCUGGGUCUGUCGCAUGACGGGCCCGGGAAAGAUAUUGCUUCGGUGGGGGAUGGGCUCGCGGCCUAUCAGCUUGUUGGUGGGGUGAUGGCCUACCAAGGCGGUGACGGGUAGCCGGCCUGAGAGGGUGGACGGUCACACUGGGACUGAGACACGGCCCAGACUCCUACGGGAGGCAGCAGUGGGGAAUAUUGCACAAUGGGCGCAAGCCUGAUGCAGCGACGCCGCGUGAGGGAUGGAGGCCUUCGGGUUGUAAACCUCUUUCGCCAGUGAAGCAGGCCCGCCUCGUUUGUGGGUGGG
rnacentral:rRNA from 1 species